rnacentral:rRNA from 1 species
GAUGAACGCUGGCGGCGUGCCUAAUACAUACAAGUCGAGCGAACAGACGAGGAGCUUGCUCCUCUGACGUUAGCGGCGGACGGGUGAGUAACACGUGGAUAACCUACCUAUAAGACUGGGAUAACUUCGGGAAACCGGAGCUAAUACCGGAUAAUAUAUUGAACCGCAUGGUUCAAUAGUGAAAGACGGUUUUGCUGUCACUUAUAGAUGGAUCCGCGCCGCAUUAGCUAGUUGGUAAGGUAACGGCUUACCAAGGCAACGAUGCGUAGCCGACCUGAGAGGGUGAUCGGCCACACUGGAACUGAGACACGGUCCAGACUCCUACGGGAGGCAGCAGUAGGGAAUCUUCCGCAAUGGGCGAAAGCCUGACGGAGCAACGCCGCGUGAAUGAUGAAGGUCUUCGGAUCGUAAAACUCUGUUAUUAGGGAAGAACAAAUGUGUAAGUAACUAUGCACGUCUUGACGGUACCUAAUCAGAAAGCCACGGCUAACUACGUG